GGUUUUAUUUUUUGUUUGCUUUUUUUUUUUUUUGGNNNNNNNNNNNNNNNNNNNNNNNNNNNNCCUUUUUUUUUUUUUUUGGAUUUGGGCUCCUACCUCUGAGGUACCAGCUCCUCAAUGUUUCAGCACAAAGCCAGUUACAGAAACAACAGGCUAUGGAAAUGGAGGGGUCUUCCAAUUGGGUUUUGGGUAAGAAAUCUCAGAUAACCCAAUUCUUUCAAUGUCUGGGGACAGUAAGGGGGAAAGUUGGAGCUCGGUAGACAUGCAGUGCCUGAGCGAGUCCCGAGUGACCAAGAGCUCAUGGUUUGGGUUGAUUUUAGGGUCCCUUUUUACGGUAAUCUAAUCCUUGUCUCACCUCAGAUGCCGAGACAUGUUGAAAAGGGAGAGGUAAAAAAUCCGACACAUUUACCAGUUCUGUUACUGCUCCAGUUGUCUCCAUUGGAUCUUCCAGAAGACCUAGGGAAUGAAUCCCCCAUGGCUUUGGCUGCAAGCAAACCACGUGAGCCCGCCCUUAUCUGCAGAGGCAAAGGCACAAAUGGGGUUUUAGCCUUCUGCACCCCUAUCCCCCCUCCAUGGAAACCCUCCAUCUGUCCAGCAUCCGAAGGGACUCAUCUCCAAACCGCCUACAAGGUCUCCAGAGACCCAAGCGAUGGCAAAACCAUCAAGCCAAGAGCUCGUAGGCUUUGCCCAGGAGUAAAUCAUGGCUGAAUAUCACAUGGGAGAUAAACCCAAGCAGGAAUUCAUGGUUGGAAGGAGGACAACGUGGCCAUGAAAAAUGGGCAGCUCUUUGCUUAUGGAAGGUCUGAUGGCAGACUUUGCAUUUGUAAAUUCAUAUUCUGAGCCUUGCAGCUUGGGCUUAGAGCAUCGGAUGAGGUUUAUGAGUAACAGAUUCUCCAAGGAUGCAAAGGGUCUUGCUCUGGCUACAACAGAAUGAGUCAAUUUAUUUUAUUUUAUUUUUCUUGGGUUUGUUUGUUGUUAUGUUUUUGUUUUUUUUUUUUUAUUAGUCCCAGUGGGGAAACACCCGGGGAGAUUCAUGACUUCCAUACAGUUUCCAGGGGCUUCUAUCUUCAUUUCCUUCUAGCGGGCAGGGUAGGUGCAGUUCGGCGGGUGGCUUUGGAUGGGAUGCUGGCUGGUGGGAGAAAAAUAGGUCCAGUUUCUUUGCACGGCAGGGGUCACAGGCCCGUUGUGAUCCCACUCACAGGCUCCAGCAGACAUUCCCGGGGAGGGGGGCGUUUCACUGUGCUCGGCUUCCCUUUAGACGACGAUCUCCAAAUGAACCCUCGACUUCCCCGCUGUUUCUUUCUGUGCAACAAAGGACUGAAUAUUUUCCUUUUUAACUCCGUGGGCAAUCGUAGUAGUAUGUAGAUUAAGCCCAGAUGAUUUUUUUUUUUUUUUGCUAAGUUAUUGUACCCAAUGCUUUUUGUAUCAGGCGGCAUCACUUUGAAUAUGCAGAUGAGGUAUAGGAUCUUGACACUUUAUAACUUUUUUUAAAAAAGAAACUUGUCUGUUUACUUAUGUCUUGUGUAAAAAGGAAAAAAAAAAAUGUAUGCCUUUUAGUUAUCACUUUUUUUUUUUUUGAGUUCUAUGAAAUUACAGUGGUUUCACUCCAGCAGCAGCGAAAUAAAAAGCGUUUCACUGUUUUGUACAUCCCUGUGUGCUGCAGUGCUGCUAGGGUCGGUGGAGGGGUGCACAAGGAGGGUGUAUUGGGGUCCUCAGCUGACAUCUUCAGCCCUCUCUUGUUCCCCCCAGAUGCAUCUCAGCUACAUUCCCUGGGAUAUUUUUACUUGUCUCAUCCCCCUGCCCUUUUCUCAGGGCUCCCAGGACAGAUAACAGAGGUGGCUGGGAAAGGGUAGGACCUACUGUGACCUACUGAGACCCCGGAGCACAUGCUCGAUUAAUCACAUGCUCGAUUGCCAAAGCAUGUCAUGGUGUGUAGGUAUCUGCCUCAUCAUCAAAUAAUUGGCAUAAGGAAAGCCCACGCACAUGCCCUGAUCCAGUGCCUAGCGUGUCUCAGCUGAUGGAGUUGGACAAAUGCUGUUGCUACUGAUGCUGUAAGGUCCAGAGAUGCCUUGUCCCAUAUAGAAGGAGCUGGCUCCGUGGCAAGGCUGUAGGGUAGCAAAGCUGACCACCCGAUGGUCCUGGUUGAGACCCCAGAGGACCGUGGCUACUAAACUAUGCUGUGCAAAACCCUUGAGGUGACCUGUGCAGCAAGUAGCCCUUGUACCAGAAACACCGAAUACUUGGAUCUACAAUGACCAGCCUCUCUGGGCCCUAUAAUGAAGCAGCAAUGGGAGAAACCAGCUCCCAAAUAGCCAUCACCUACCAGCAUGACCUGGGAUGGGUUGGGAGCCUGGGCAGGGACUGCAGUUGGAGAGGUGGUGGCUGCUUCUCCCUCUCCUGCUUCUUCUCCCAUUAUAGACCAGUCAAACAGCUAAAUCUACUGGGUGGAGAACAGCCACUGUGACUGAAGGCUUGGGGCAGCAUCCUCCAGUUGAGCAACACCAGACGCGUUGACCUCAGUCCACCCAGGAAGGCAGACUGGGUGGACUGGUCAGCACACCAUCAAGGAGGAGACAGGCUGGAUGUCUGGGCAGGCUGUCUGCUGGCAAGAAGAGGACUUUUGCAGGGAGG
rnacentral:lncRNA from 1 species